AGAGAGAGACAUGCGCGCAUAUCAAUAAGCGGAGGAAAAGAAACUAACAAGGAUUCCCUAGUAACGGCGAGUGAAGCGGGAAGAGCUCAAAUUUGAAAUCUUAAAGGGUUUCCCUUUACGAAUUGUAGUUUAAAGAAGUGUUUUCUGUUGAGGUUUUGGUAAAAGUUCUUUGGAAUAGGACAUCAUAGAGGGUGAGAAUCCCGUAUUUGACCUUUACUUUCAACUUUGUGAUACACUUUCAAAGAGUCGGAUUGUUUGGGAAUGCAGUCCAAAAUGGGUGGUAAAUUUCAUCUAAAGCUAAAUAUUGGCGAGAGACCGAUAGCGAACAAGUACCGUGAGGGAAAGAUGAAAAGAACUUUGAAAAGAGAGUUAAACAGUACGUGAAAUUGUCAAAAGGGAAGCGUUUGACACCAGUGUUGUUUUUCUGAAAAUCAAUUAAAGAACUGUUUAUGCUAAGUUGUUUAGACUUUAUCAGCUAUCUGUUUAGUUUUGAGCUUUUCUUUAAUGCACUUUUCAGUUAACAAGUCAACAUCAAUUUCUUUUGCUGUAAAAAAGCUUGAGGAAGGUGGCUUGAGAUUCGUCUUAAGUGUUUAUAGCCUCUUGCCUAUGCAGUCGGAGAGAUUGAGGUCUGCAGCGUAGAUCCUUCGGGGCUAAAUGCAUUUGUGCUAAGUUAUAGCAUUUUAUAGACAACUUGUUGACUAUGAUUUGUCUUGUAGCUUACUCGCUUAUGUUAUUUUACCUACGCUUAGGAUGUUGAGCGCAUGUCUCUCUCU
rnacentral:rRNA from 1 species